CCUACGGGUGGCAGCAGUGAGGAAUAUUGGUCAAUGGACGGAAGUCUGAACCAGCCAUGCCGCGUGCAGGAAGACGGCCCUAUGAGUUGUAAACUGCUUUUGUACAAGGGUAAACCUGAAUACGUGUAUUCAGCUGAACGUACUGUACGAAUAAGGAUCGGCUAACUCCGUGCCGGCAGCCGCGGUAAUACGGAGGAUCCAAGCGUUAUCCGGAUUUAUUGGGUUUAAAGGGUGCGUAGGCGGAUUGAUAAGUUAGGGGUGAAAUGUACGGGCUUAACUCGGGAACUGCUACUAAUACUGUUGAACUAGAGAGUAGGAGAGGUAGGCGGAAUGUAUGGUGUAGCGGUGAAAUGCUUAGAGAUCAGACAGAACACCGAUUGCGAAGGCAGCUUACCAAUCUAUAUCUGACGUUGAGGCACGAAAGCGUGGGGAGCAAACAGGAUUAGAUACCCCAGUAGUC
rnacentral:rRNA from 1 species